AGUGAACGCUGGCGGUAGGCCUAACACAUGCAAGUCGAACGGCAGCACAGUAAGAGCUUGCUCUUACGGGUGGCGAGUGGCGGACGGGUGAGGAAUACAUCGGAAUCUACUUUUUCGUGGGGGAUAACGUAGGGAAACUUACGCUAAUACCGCAUACAACCUACGGGUGAAAGCAGGGGAUCUUCGGACCUUGCGCGAUUGAAUGAGCCGAUGUCGGAUUAGCUAGUUGGCGGGGUAAAGGCCCACCAAGGCGACGAUCCGUAGCUGGUCUGAGAGGAUGAUCAGCCACACUGGAACUGAGACACGGUCCAGACUCCUACGGGAGGCAGCAGCGGGGAAUAUUGGACAAUGGGCGCAAGCCUGAUCCAGCCAUACCGCGUGGGUGAAGAAGGCCUUCGGGUUGUAAAGCCCUUUUGUUGGGAAAGAAAAGCAGCAGGUUAAUACCCCGCUGUUCUGACGGUACCCAAAGAAUAAGCACCGGCUAACUUCGUG
rnacentral:rRNA from 1 species